rnacentral:rRNA from 1 species
GGAUCGGCUAACUCCGUGCCAGCAGCCGCGGUAAUACGGAGGAUCCAAGCGUUAUCCGGAAUCAUUGGGUUUAAAGGGUCCGUAGGCGGCUUAAUAAGUCAGUGGUGAAAUCCCUACGCUUAACGUAGGAACGGCCAUUGAUACUGUUAGGCUUGAAUUAUUAGGAAGUAACUAGAAUAUGUAGUGUAGCGGUGAAAUGCUUAGAGAUUACAUGGAAUACCAAUUGCGAAGGCAGGUUACUACUAAUGGAUUGACGCUGAUGGACGAAAGCGUGGGUAGCGAACAGGAUUAGAUACCCUGGUAGUCCACGCCGUAAACCAUGGAUACUAGCUGUUGGGCGCAAGUUCAGUGGCUAAGCGAAAGUGUUAAGUAUCCCACCUGGGGAGUACGUUCGCAAGAAUGAAACUCAAAGGAAUUGACGGGGGCCCGCACAAGCGGUGGAGCAUGUGGUUUAAUUCGAUGAUACGCGAGGAACCUUACCAAGGCUUAAUGUAGAUUGACCGAUUGGAACAGAUCUUUCGCAAGACAAUUACAAGGUGCUGCAUGGUUGUCGUCAGCUCGUGCCGUGAGGUGUCAGGUAAGUCCUAUAACGAGCGCAACCCUGUUGUAGUUGCCAGCGAGUCAAGUCGGGAACUUUAACAAGAACUGCCAGUGCAAACUGUGAGGAAGGUGGGAUGACGUCAAAUAUACGGCCUUA